UACGAAGGGUGCUAGCGUUGUUCGGAAUUACUGGGCGUAAAGCGCGCGUAGGCGGCUAUUCAAGUCAGAGGUGAAAUCCCUGGGCUCAACCCAGGAACUGCCUUUGAAACUGUAUAGCUUGAGUGUUGGAGGGGAUAGCGGAAUUGCUAAUGUAGAGGUGAAAUUCGUAGAUAUUAGCAGGAACACCGGUGGCGAAGGCGGCUAUCUGGACAACAACUGACGCUGAGGCGCGAAAGUGUGGGGAUCAAACAGG
rnacentral:rRNA from 1 species